GCAGGUUUAGGUUCAUCAUUUCACUAUGACUUCAACAUUCUUCAGGUUAAGAAUCAAGAACAUUAUUUAACUGACUCUAAAGAUGAAUGCCUCUCCAGCCUUAGUGACUGUGAUGCUCUUGAUACUUGGAAAAACUCAUGCAGACUCAGUGACCCAGAUGGAAAGCCAUGUGACCAUGUCAGAAGGGGCUUUGUUGACUAUAAACUGCACUUACUCAUCCACAAGGUACCCUGCUCUUUUCUGGUACGUUCAAUACCCUGGAGAAGGUCUACAGCUCCUCCUGAAAGCUGUGAAGACCAAUGAUAAGGUCAGCAAUAAAGGUUUUGAAGCCACAUACAAUAAAGAAGCCACUUCUUUCAACUUGGAGAAAGCCUCCAUCCAAGAGUCAGACUCGGCUGUGUACUACUGUGCUCUGGGUGACACAGUGGCAGAAACUGCAGGGGGAGCUGAGCACAAACUCUGAGCAGCCACCAGGGGCCUGGCUGCUGAGCGUCUGCCUCUGGUAUCCAUCCUGGUUUCAGCACAGUUUAUGGUGUCUGCAACAAUGUUUCUCUGGUUGAGGUAAAAUCAAACAAAUAUCCAGAGGAGAAGAACAAAGAGUGGAUGUCUUUUAACUAGGAUCUUCAUUAGUCAAAGGGAAGACAGAGGCCGACACCAUUAGUUCCUCAUGCCCGGCCAAAGUAAUUUCAAGGUAAAAUCACUCGAACAAUGAAGUGGUCUCUUUGAUCAUCCUUGGCAACAAAACCCAGACCCCAUGUGUUGUUCCAGGUCACCCUGGUAGACAUUUCUGUGGCUUGUUAUAUUUUUAGAGAGAUAUAACAGAGAAGAUGGCAUGUGCACAAGGUCUCCCUAACACAGAGUGGAAGGAGAGGUGGUAAGAGAACCAGAGGCCCCACCUCUGAAAUCCACAAGUGGUAAUAGAGUAAGAGGGAAAAGAAGAAAGGAGGAGGAACAGACCUCACAUGCAGCAACAGUGCAAUAAGGGGAAAGGGACUUUCCUCAUGCAGAGGAUGGGCAUCUGUUUUGGUUAAUCAGAUGGUAGCCAUAGGCUAGUGUUAAAAAGAAAGGGAGGGAGGAAAUGCACAAUUAAAAUAUGACCCAUGGUUAAAUGAUGAGCAGCCCUGGACACUUACAUAGUUCAGUUUCUUUCCAAAAAGGCCAACAUGAGUCAGUUUGCAGUGCCCGUGGAAUGUUAAGUAUGUGUGUGUGUGUGUGUGUGUGUGUGUGUGUGUAGAUAUUUGUAACUUCAUGAAACCCCAUUAGAAGGCAGUGAAGAAACUCCAAAGAGCAUAGACACUCAGAAUGUAGGAAAGAAGAUAAUGGAAGUGGUGUCAACUGAGUCUUAGAGAGUGAGAAAUUCAUUGAGAAACUUGCAUCACAGGCCAAGUAAAGAUGGAAGCUGUGCCUAAUGAGAGAGGCCACCAAGGAGCAUCGCUUGGGUUCUGUGCCUUUAUGGAAGGGUUAGGAGUCAGAGCACCAGUUACCCUUAGACCACUGGAGAAAGUGGUGCUAUGUGUGUGUGCGUGCAUGUGUGUGUGUAUAUGUGUGUGUGUGUGUGUGUG